AUGUCAUGAUUUGGGCAGUGAUUGAUCAGUUCAUUAAGCCUUGCCUAUGAUUUGUGGAUCCUCUCACCCUCCUCUUGUUUGAAGAUAAGGAUACGAUCCCGGAACAU